GGGAUACUCCUAUAAGACGAAAAGACCCCAUGGAGCUUCAAACCCAACUACACCCUUAACUACCACAACCGCACAACCUCUUAGGGCCCUGUAUAGUUGGUUUUAGGUUGGGGCGACCACGGAGUACAACCAAACCUCCGCAAUGGACGGGACCACUCCCUUAUCUAAGAGCCNCACCUCUAAGAAUUAAAACACUAACAUAAAAUGAUCCAUGAUCUGAUCAAUGAACCAAGUUACCCUGGGGAUAACAGCGCAAUCCAUUUCAAGAGCCCU
rnacentral:rRNA from 1 species